GACAGAGGUGCCGAGCGUUAGGCGGAAUCACUGGGCUUAAAGCGUGUGUAGGCGGGCCGUUAAGUAUCUUGUGAAAUCCCCCGGCUCAACCGGGGAAUGGCUGGAUAUACUGGCGGUCUUGAGCGAUCUAGGGGCAGAUGGAACAAAUGGUGGAGCGGUGAAAUGCGUAGAUAUCAUUUGGAACGCCAAAGGUGAAAACAGACAGCUGGGGAUGUGCUGACGCUGAGACACGAAAGCCAGGGGAGCGAACGGG
rnacentral:rRNA from 1 species